rnacentral:rRNA from 1 species
GACGAACGCUGGCGGCGUGCUUAACACAUGCAAGUCGAACGGAAAGGCCCUGCUUUUGUGGGGUUCUCGAGUGGCUAACGGGUGAGUAACACGUGAGUAACCUGCCCUUGACUUUGGGAUAACUUCAGGAAACUUGGGCUAAUACCGGAUAGGAGCUCCUGCUGCAUGGUGGGGGUUGGAAAGUUUCGGCGGUUGGGGAUGGACUCGCGGCUUAUCAGCUUGUUGGUGGGGUAGUGGCUUACCAAGGCUUUGACGGGUAGCCGGCCUGAGAGGGUGACCGGACACAUUGGGACUGAGAUACGGCCCAGACUCAUACGGGAGGCAGAAGUGGGGAAUAUUGCACAAUGGGCGGAAGCCUGAUGCAGCAACGCCGCGUGAGGGAUGACGGACUUCGGGUUGUAAACCGCUAUCGCCUGUGACGAAGCGUGAGUGACGGUAAUGGGUAAAGAAGCUCCGGCUAACUACGUG